GCUGUUGCCUCGGCGGGGUCACGCCCCGGGUGCGUAAAAGCCCCGGAACCAGGCGCCCGCCGGAGAAACCAACCAAACUCUUUCUGUAGUCCCCUCGCGGACGUAUUUCUUACAGCUCUGAGCAAAAAUUCAAAAUGAAUCAAAACUUUCAACAACGGAUCUCUUGGUUCUGGCAUCGAUGAAGAACGCAGCGAAAUGCGAUAAGUAAUGUGAAUUGCAGAAUUCAGUGAAUCAUCGAAUCUUUGAACGCACAUUGCGCCCGCCAGUAUUCUGGCGGGCAUGCCUGUCCGAGCGUCAUUUCAACCCUCGAACCCCUCCGGGGGGUCGGCGUUGCAGAUCGGGACCCCUCACCGGGUGCCGGCCCUGAAAUACAGUGGCGGUCUCGCCGCAGCCUCUCCUGGGCAGUAGUUUGCACAACUCGCACCGGGAGCGCGGCGCGUCCACGUCCGUAAAACACCCAACUUCUGAGAUGUUGACCUCGGAUCAGGUAGGAAUACCCGCUGAACUUAAGCAUAUCAAUAAGCGGAGGGAAAA
rnacentral:sRNA from 1 species